rnacentral:rRNA from 1 species
AGUCACAGCCAUGUCACCCUGCAGCCCAAGACCGGUUACUCACUGAAGCUAAUCAGGGCUGAGCCUGGUCAGUACCUAGAUGGGAGACCACUAGGGAACACUAGGUUGCUGUUGGAA